rnacentral:rRNA from 1 species
GAUGAACGCUGGCGGCGUGCCUAAUACAUGCAAGUCGAGCGAACGGACGAGAAUCUUGCUUCUCUGAUGUUAGCGGCGGACGGGUGAGUAACACGUGGAUAACCUACCUAUAAGACUGGGAUAACUUCGGGAAACCGGAGCUAAUACCGGAUAAUAUUUUGCACCGCAUGGUUCAAAAGUGAAAGACGGUCUUGCUGUCUCUUAUAGAUGGAUCCCCGCUGCAUUAGCUAGUUGGUAAGGUAACGGCUUACCAAGGCAACGAUGCAUAGCCGACCUGAGAGGGUGAUCGGCCACACUGGAACUGAGACACGGUCCAGACUACUACGGGAGGCAGCAGUAGGGAAUCUUCCGCAAUGGGCGAAAGCCUGACGGAGCAACGCCGCGUGAGUGAUGAAGGUCUUCGGAUCGUAAAACUCUGUUAUUAGGGAAGAACAUAUGUGCAAGGAACUGUGCACAUCGUGACGGUACCUAAUCAGAAAGCCACGGCUAACUACGUG